UACUGUGCCACGGAUGGGUAGC
rnacentral:miRNA from 1 species